UCAGGUGCAGUUUUUCUUAUGUGAUGAUGCUUAUGCAACUGAUGCGUAACACGACCAAUUAGAAGCUGUCUCUGAGCCAACAACACAGGCAGAAGACUGGAACUAUGACCAUUUGCCAACCUACUCUCCACAUAUACAAUAUGAGGGGAAUGAAAGUUGGAACUCUGCUGGAAGUAUGGAAUGACACAUCCUAAAAAUAGAAGUGCAACAGGUUCCCCUGCCAUUAUGCCUUCAAAAAAAGUUUCAGAGUUUGGACUGAAUUUGCCUAGUUAUAAUGAGCAGUUG